rnacentral:siRNA from 1 species
AGACUUGACCUGCGAUUAAAUCCA